UGCUUAAAUCUUUUUACUCUCUGAGUUAUGAAUUUAGGUUAGUUCUACAUCCAAGAUAAAUCUCAAUUAAUUCUUCUUUUUUCUUUUCCCAUUUCCUCCUGUCUCCCUCUCUUCUUUCCUUCUACUCUUUUCUUCACUUUUCUCUCUCUCUUCUUCUCAGUUUUUAUUUUUGUAAUUUGAAAUCAAUGUGCAAGCCAGAGCUUCUUUAGGAAAGACCAUUCCUGAGAGAACAACAGGAAGAAAUAUGAAUGUUAAACAUGUGGUGCCGUGUGGAAGCAAAGCUCCAUAAUUAAUCUAUAGAGCCAUCACCACUGUCAAAAGCAGAAAGGCCCCAGAGGAAAUAAUUUUUGUAUAGAAUGAUGGCAGCAUUAGUGACAGCAGUAAUGAUAAGACACUGAAAAGUAUGUGAAAAUUUCCUUUACAAUCCUGUGUGAGGUUUAAUUAUAAAAACUAGUAUCUUGGACACUUAACUAUUUUUUUUCAGAGGGAAUCAGAGCUAUUUCCAUGAAUUAAUGUCUUAAUCCCCACAACAAUGAGGUCGUGGUCAUCUAGUUGUAGAAUGACUCCUGCCUGCUACAUUUCCCCAGAUACCCAGGACCUUCAUGCUGUCACUCUCCAUGACCUGACCAACAUCUAUUUUGAGAAAUUAUUUUAUAUACUCAUUCAAACAGUCAUCUUUUGUGUCCAGAGUUGGUUCCUUCUGGUGGGUUCGUGGUCUCGCUAACUUCAAGAAUGGAGCCACGGACCUUCGCGACACUUCUAUUUAAACUUCUUGGAAGGAUAUCUCAAUAACAUUCCUUUGCUGAGGACCAUAAGAUAGAAGAUGAGAAUCCAUCUGCCCUCUUCUCUGCACCCAGGCUUCAAUCCUGUUUGAUCAUGCAGGGGCUACAAGGCCUUCGACACAAAGAACUUGUCUUAGAUUCUAAUCAGUUUAACAAAUAGGACAGACAGCUGCUGAGCACUGUCUGAGUGACACUGAUUUACAUACAAAUGAACCACCAAUGUCCCCUUCUAUCAACUCAGAAUAAAAUCUGGUUUUAGCAUAUGCAGUCCUACGAGACAUGGUUAAAGGAUAUGAAUGAUAGAUAGAGAUAAAAGAAAUCAAGGACCAUUCCUCCACAAGUCUCCAAAGAGGAAAACAACAAUCGAAGAAAAAAGAGUGAGAGAACAGAUGGGCUGGCAGAGUUUUGCUUUCUAUGUGACAUUGUGUACUUAUUAUUCGCAUGAGGACUAAUUUAUAAACCCGGAUAGUGUUUAUAAACUAUACUGUCCUAAUGGAAAUGAAAGCAUUAAUACAACUAGAAGAUUCUUUACUUUCCAAGCUUUAAUUAAAAUCACAGGCGUUAAGAAGCAAAAGUGCCUUCAUGGAAUACAAGCCUAAUGAAGGAUUUCCUUGCCUAGCACAGAGCUCUGUGUGCAGUCCCAGCUUGCUGGCACCAGCCACUGGAAAAGCCGACCCCCGUGUAACCAAAAGAGCUCUCUCUGAAAAUUAGAAAAGCAAAUCAUACCACACAUUUUUUUUUUCAAAUAAAUAUAGUUGCCAAGUCAGAUCCAGGAAAAACAAUAGCACGUCAUAAGUAAAACACACACACACACACACAGACACAGACACAGACACACACACACACACACAGCCUUAGAACAUGCUAUGUUAAUUAGCUACCUGGAAGACCAGAGGCAAAUGUGUUUGUUCUAUGCGCUGAACACUUAAAAGGGAGAGGGAAAGGUGUCAGCUUGGGAAAGAGGAAUGUGGAAAUAUGGCAAAGACAAUCUAAGAGGAGAGAGAGAAAGGAAACAAGAGGAAAGGAUUCGACAGAGGAAUUUCACAACAGCAUAGAAGAAUAGAUCAGGAGUUUUGCUACCAAAUAAUGGAGAAAAAAUACACAGAAGCCUAGGAAGUGACCUUGAUUAAAACGCCCACCAUGUGAAUGCUACUCAGCCGACACACUCAUUUUGCCUCUUAAAGGUAUCACCUCAUUUAUGUGUAGGCAAAUUAAGGUUGUAGUGGAAUUAAACUGUCUUCCCUGUAAAUCAGACAGCAAAAAGGAACAGGGAGCUACAUAUAUAUAUUAUAUAUAUGUAGUUACCACCUGCUUUGUUUAGUGAUGAUGAUAAUGGUGAUAAUGAUGAUGCUUGUUAACGAUAAUGACAUAAAUGAUGACAGUAUAUGCAAUAUAUUAAGUACCAAUGUUAGGUUAGGUAAUAUGCUAGGUGUUUUACAAGGAUCAUUUCUAAUUCAUAGAACAACUCUGGGAGAUAGGUGUUAUUUACCACUUAAUAGUAUAUACAUAUACAUUACCCCAAAUUAUACAACUAUUGAGUGACAGCCUGUAUUUGAAGGAGCGCUUUAAACGAACAGGAUUUUUAUUUUAUUAUUUAUUUAUUUAUUUAUUUUGAGACAGGGUCUCACUCUGUUGCCCAG
rnacentral:lncRNA from 1 species